UGAAGACAACCUGCUGCAGGGGACAUGGCCACGGCACAAUCGCUCGACCGGGGAAAACAGAGGGAGCGCAGGGGAGGGGAGAGAGGGAGAGGGCUCACCUGCGCCUGGUAACCGUCGGGGUGCCUGCUCCUGCGCGUUUGGAUCUAGGGGAAGAUGAGGGGUUGCGAGGAGGGAUGUGUGCGUAUAUAUAGAGGAGGGGUGCGACAAGGCGGUUGC
rnacentral:lncRNA from 7 species